rnacentral:rRNA from 1 species
GAUGAACGCUAGCGGCAGGCCUAAUACAUGCAAGUCGAACGGGAUCUGAGGGUAGCUUGCUACCCGAUUUGAGAGUGGCGCACGGGUGCGUAACGCGUGAGCAACCUACCCAUAUCAGGGGGAUAGCCCGAAGAAAUUAGGAUUAACACCGCAUAAUAAUACGCUAACACCUGUUAAUGUAUUUAAAUAUUUAUAGGAUAUGGAUGGGCUCGCGUGACAUUAGCUAGUUGGUAAGGUAACGGCUUACCAAGGCGACGAUGUCUAGGGGCUCUGAGAGGAGAAUCCCCCACACUGGUACUGAGACACGGACCAGACUCCUACGGGAGGCAGCAGUAAGGAAUAUUGGUCAAUGGGCGCAAGCCUGAACCAGCCAUGCCGCGUGCAGGAUGACUGCCCUAUGGGUUGUAAACUGCUUUUGUUAGGGAAUAAACCUACUUAUGUAUAAGUAGCUGAAUGUACCUAAAGAAUAAGGAUCGGCUAACUCCGUGCCAGCAGCCGCCGUAA